CAAAACUAGUUGAGGGGAUGACUUACAAAAAAAUAGUUCCUAGAAAUCAGUACAAACCAGUGUACGGUGAGAAAAGGGCUGUCAAUUGUAAGGCUUCCAAGAAAAGCUGCAGGUAGAUCCCAUGAUUCCUGAACUUCUGACUGGAGGUCAUUCAUUCCUAUCAGAGGAGAUUAGACUUUGAGCAUCAAAGGCAAUGACAGAAAGACAAUAAAGAACAGCCACACCCGAGCAGACCAUUCCGUGGGGCAUGUGGUUGGGGCAGUGGAGUUCCAAAGUGCAGCAUCAGGGGCAGAGCCAGGCCUGGUUGGGUGCCUGGCCUACUGACAGCCUCCAUGAAGAGAGACAGUUGGAAGCAAUCUCAUCAGACAGUUGGCGUCUAUGAGGUUCACACAUAGGUGAACCCACAGCAGCAUGGGCAGUGUGACAGGCGUAAUUGUUCAAAAUUAAAUGCGGUAGAUGUGGGACACAUAGAUCACCCAUAGUUCCUCCAGGCUUUGAGCUAGAGAGAUGCCUGCAGUCUACGGAGAACAGUUACCUUCCCCAGACACGCACAAAGCAACCAGUGCAAGAAGAGCAGAGGAAGCAGCUGGAGGAUCACGGAGACUUGGGAAGCAAUUGGGAAAAGUGUCCUCAUAUGCUGGAUAUUUUACUUUGAAGCACUCCCCUGACCUACUGUGAGGUGAAGAACUAAUGGCAAGAACAAUAGUUUCAAGCAGAUCAAUAAAGAUAUUUUCCUACAAUGAACAAAUAUGAGCCAAAAUUUGAAUUUCAAUUACUAUAUAUGAGCAUCUUCUUACGAACAGAAAAGUCUGCAGAAUCUAACAUCUGAAUUCCAC
rnacentral:lncRNA from 1 species